GACGAACGCUGGCGGCGUGCUUAACACAUGCAAGUCGAACGGAAAGGCCCUGCUUUUGUGGGGUGCUCGAGUGGCGAACGGGUGAGUAACACGUGAGUAACCUGCCCUGGACUUUGGGAUAACUUCAGGAAACUGGGGCUAAUACCGGAUAGGAGCUCCUGCUGCAUGGUGGGGGUUGGAAAGUUUCGGCGGUUGGGGAUGGACUCGCGGCUUAUCAGCUUGUUGGUGGGGUAGUGGCUUACCAAGGCUUUGACGGGUAGCCGGCCUGAGAGGGUGACCGGCCACAUUGGGACUGAGAUACGGCCCAGACUCCUACGGGAGGCAGCAGUGGGGAAUAUUGCACAAUGGGCGGAAGCCUGAUGCAGCAACGCCGCGUGCGGGAUGACGGCCUUCGGGUUGUAAACCGCUUUCGCCUGUGACGAAGCGUGAGUGACGGUAAUGGGUAAAGAAGCACCGGCUAACUACGUG
rnacentral:rRNA from 1 species